rnacentral:rRNA from 1 species
UAAUACGUAAGUGGCGAGCGUUAUCCGGAAUCACUGGGCGUAAAGCGUUCGUAGGCGGCGCAGUAAGUCGGAAUUGAAAUACCAGGGCUUAACUCUGGACCCGGUUCCGAAACUGCUGUGCUUGAGCGUAUCAGAGGGUAGUGGAAUUCCCGGUGUAGCGGUAAUAUGCGUAGAUAUCGGGAGGAACACCAGUGGCGAAGGCGGCUACCUGGGAUAUUGCUGACGCUGAGGAACGAAAGCCAGGGGAGCGAACGGG